AUGGACAGUUCGACCAAACUAUUCCAUGAGUGGGAAAUCCAGAUACUUGUGCUACUCAGCUUCACACUACAAUUGUUCCUCUUCUUUGCUGGCAGGCUUCGGCGCCAAAGCAGCAGUGGGUUCCUGAGACUCUCCACCUGGGCAGCUUACUUAGGGGCAGAUUUGGCAGCAGUUUAUGCACUGGGCUAUCUCUCAAAGCGUCAAGACGACACCACUGAAACGAACAUACUUACAAGAACCCAACCACUAGCUAUCUUUUGGGCACCAUUUCUUCUCAUCCAUCUUGGCGGGCAGGACACCAUCACUGCUUUCGCCAUGGAGGACAACAACUUGUGGUUGAGGCAUCUGUUGAAUCUGGUGACGCAAGUUGUCAUAGCUUUAUAUGUUUUCUGGAAAUCCAUCGGAAAACACAGUGCAAACCUUCUAUUUGCGGGUAGCUUUGUGUUUGUUGCUGGAAUUAUCAAGUAUGGGGAAAGAACAUGGUCUCUCAAGUGUGGCAGCCUUAAAAGUCUUGAGAGCACAGAUGCAAAACGUUACAGAAAACAAUUGCCCGAAGGAAUCUCGGAUGAUGAUGGGUUUGUCCGUGCUGCUCUUGAUUCCAUGCAUCAUACCAUUGAUAUCUUAUCCGAGUGUAGCAUGUUUGGGUCCAAAAGAGAAGAAUUAGCGGAGAUAGACAAAACUGACCAAGUGAUUCGGAUGGUCAAGCUUCAGCUUGGAAUGAUGUAUGAUGAUCUCUACACCAAGGCCCUUGUGCUCACCACUCGGAGCGGAGUUAUACUUAGGUGCAUCUCUCAGGCAUCUAUUAUUGUUGCUUUUGCACUCUUCCUUGCAAAUGACAAAGAGAGGUAUAACAAAGCUGACACUAUCAUUACCUAUUCAUUGUUUGCCGGGUGCUUUUUCCUAGAAGUCUGUUCAAUAUUUGUUUCCAUGAUGUCACCUUGGACAUGGACAUGGUUGAAGAUUCACAAGUGGGACACACUUGCCUGGUUCUCGUGGUUUGUCUUUCGUUGGGACAUCGGAUACCCAAGGAUGGAACAGCGGUGGCCAAAUGCGAUUGGACAGUACAACUUCCAUGGUUGGGUGACUAACAGCAACCUGCAGCCAAGAACACACAGUCAACGAAUAAUGAUGGUAUUCAGAAAGUUUGUGGGUUUGUUUGGUGUCCAAAAGAGGAAAAUAUUUUGGAUGAGCAAGUUAUUAGACACUGAGUACAUGGAUGCAGAUAACAUGAUUGUGGAGUAUAUUGUAAAAGAGAUUAGUCUCUUAAAUUCUGAAUCCAGCGACGAUAAAGCCCAAGGAUGGCAGAGCAUUAGCUCCCAUGUGAAAACAGCAAUGAACAACUGCCUUAAAGUUUUUGGUUAUAGUAUUGUCGUGAUGCAUCUAUUAACUGAGGCACAUCUUCAACAAUAUGCUUCUUCCCGUUCUGACAUAGAGACAAAUCGUCCAAGGGCAGAUGUACCUGUUGGUCUGAUGGAGGUAUGCCGGAAGCUUUCAAACUACAUGAUGUACCUUAUGGUUCACCACCCUUCCAUGCUGCCGCUAUCUAUGAGCGCGACAGCUAGCUUCGAUAACUUUCACAAACCUGAAAAUGCUGAAAAUGCCUGUGAUGAAUUGGAGUUGGAGGCAAGCAAGGAAACACUAGAGGAGUUAGCACGCAUGUGGACGCGGCUCCUUGUUUACGCUGCAGGCAAGUCGAGGGCGGCGAUGCAUGCUGCGCAGCUGAGCGGUGGAGGAGAGCUCAUCACGUUCGCCUGGCUACUCAUGGCACACAUGGAGAUGGGGGAUACUGGCAGUAAAAGAUUCCAUCUUACCACUGAUGAUUUUCAUGCGGAAACAAACUUGACUAAUGUAUACCUCUUCUAUGUUCCCUCAGAAGACCAGAUAUCAGGUGCUGAAAAUCGGUAA
rnacentral:rRNA from 1 species